UUCUGGGAAGCCGUGUUCUGUGAAUGACCCUGGGUGUCAUGGAGGAAGGAGCAGGCGCAAGCGCUCCUGGGAUGCUGUGUUGUGUGAAUGACCCUGGGUGUCAUGGAGGAAGGAGCAGGCGUGAGCGCUUCCGGGAAGCCGUGUUCUGUGAAUGACCCUGGGUGUCAUGGAGGAAGGAGCCAGCAAGCGCUCCUGGGAUGCUGUGUUGUGUGAAUGACCC
rnacentral:lncRNA from 1 species